UCAUAAGAUGGGGACGUUAAGCAGGCAGCAACUACAGUCAUUUGUUCUCAGAGGUCUGGACCAAAGAGAAACAAGAAAAGCUGGAGUCACGUUACCAAAGGCCGAGGCUGAGCAACAGAGCUCUGGAGUUAGCCGCCUGGGUUCAGCAUGCAGUGCUGCCAUGGACGAUCUGUCUCUUUUGCAUAUAUGACUUACCAGUUUUACUUCAGUCUCUCCAUUUCUAAUUAAAUGAGAGGCAGAAA
rnacentral:lncRNA from 1 species